rnacentral:lncRNA from 1 species
AUGCUUCCCCAAGAUACCAGAAUGAGCAAAAUCUUAUUAAAACAACAAAGUAAGGAACAAGUCAGUUUCCAUGAAAGACCACAAUAUAUGUAUCUUCUUCGUCUUAAGUGAACUAAGUAAGAAAAUGUGGAUGUCAAAGGAAGAAAAUGACAUUAGACGAGUAUUAUUUUAUGCCUGAAGUAUACCACUUUACAUGGUGGCUUUUAGAAUUCUGAUUUACAGAAAACUCUUCUUGUUAUAGAGAGAAAAUAGCUAUAGCAGCCAAUUAAAGAAUCAAACUCCUUCCUUAAAAUGUACCAGAAUCUUAACAAAGUCCACUAAAAUAUGGCUUUUAGGAGGACAUUAGCAAUUGUUAGUUGAAAUGCCAAAUAAACCACUAAAACUUUCCA